UACGGAGGGUGCAAGCGUUAUCCGGAUUCACUGGGUUUAAAGGGAGCGUAGGUGGGUCUGUAAGUCAGUGGUGAAAUCUCCGGGCUUAACCUGGAAACUGCCAUUGAUACUAUAGGUCUUGAAUAUUGUGGAGGUUAGCGGAAUAUGUCAUGUAGCGGUGAAAUGCUUAGAUAUGACAUAGAACACCAAUUGCGAAGGCAGCUCACUACACGAAUAUUGACACUGAGGCACGAAAGCGUGGGGAUCAAACAGG
rnacentral:rRNA from 1 species